AGAGUUUGAUCCUGGCUCAGAGCGAACGCUUGCGGCGGGCUUAACACAUGCAAGUCGAACGCAUACCUUCGGGUAUGAGUGGCGGACGGGUGAGUAACACGUAGGUUACCUGCCCAUCGGUGGGGGAUAACUGGGGGAAACUCCAGCUAAUACCGCAUAUGGUCUACGGAUCAAAGCAGCAAUGCGCCGGUGGAUGGGCCUGCGGCCGAUUAUUUAAUCCUAGUUGGCGGGGUAAUGGCCCACCAAGGGUACGAUCGGUAGCUGGUCUGAGAGGACGAUCAGCCACACUGGAACUGAGACACGGUCCAGACUCCUACGGGAGGCAGCAGUGGGGAAUAUUGCGCAAUGGGCGAAAGCCUGACGCAGCCACGCCGCGUGUGUGAUGAAGGCCUUCGGGUUGUAAAGCACUGUCGAGGGGGAAGAAGAAUGACGGUACCCCUCAAGAAAGCGCCGGCUAACCCUGUGCCAGCAGCCGCGGUA
rnacentral:rRNA from 1 species